rnacentral:lncRNA from 1 species
CAAAUUGACUUCACUCACAUGCAUAGGCACAAAAAGCUUCGCUACCUACUUACUUUAGUUGAUACUUUUUCAUGUUGGAUGGACGUCUUCCCUACCUCCAGAGAAACUUCUGACUCUGUCGCUUCCAUCCUCAUUGAGCAGAUCAUUUCCAGAUUUGGACUUCCCACCUCCAUCCAGUCAGAAGCCAUCACUUCUCAGGUUGUUCAACUGGUCUCCAAAGGCCUCAACAUCACUUGGAGACUCCACAUCCCCUACCGAUCUCAAUCCUCGGGUGAGGUUGAGAGGGCUAAUGGCAUUCUCAAGGAUCAUUCUGCCAUUGGCCCUCACCCGAAUUCAGGCAGUUCCUAGAGUCCCCUCAGGCCUUAGCGCCUUUGACUACUCUAUGGGCGCCCUUUCUUAAUCAACCAAAGCUUUCCAAUCACUCCUCCUCCCCUUGUGUCCUACCUGCCCUAUCUCACACUUCUACACAAACUCCUAAGGGAACACACAGACCGGUGCCUUCCUGUGCCAUCUGUUACCUCAAUCCCAGUGCAACCACAAACCAAAUAGGCCCCUCUUCAACCGGGUGAUGCAGUCUUACUUCGAGAGCCGCAUCCUCAAUCAUUGGUUGGAAUCUCGCUGGACGGGGACCCCAUACAGUCAUACUUACUAUCCCAACAGUUGCCAAACUUUUGGGCCACUCCCCCUGGUACCACGUCUCCCACCUUAAAAAAGGUGCCUGCUCCAAAUGUCCAGUCCUGAACUUCCACCACGCUGGGACCCACCAAACUCAAGAUUUAUUGCCAACCGUCUUCUUCUUUUACUAAUAGUUAAUCUCUCUCAAGCUCCUAUCCCAACCCAUAGAUGGCGCUUCUGAAUCCAAGUGACAUGGCACCAGGAUGGCACCACACACUCUCAGUUUAUGGGUCAAGGCAAUUGCCCUUCCACUGGCUGCAAUUGGGUGGUCACCCUUAACAUUAUUGGAUUCAACCAAGCCACCUUGUCCCACCUAUGUGCAGCAAUGCUAUACUUCAUAACAGACUAAACUGAGGAAUCUUGUAAGCGCUGGCCUAAUACCUAUGGUGGGGUGCCCUUAUAACUCAUGCAAGAAACGCUUCCUAGAUAAGCCUUGCUAUGAGAAACAAACAUACACCAAAUUAACUACUUAGGACCCAUGGGACCCAAAAUGGGCUUCUGAUGUUGAUGGUAAAUUUUAUUCUUGGGGUUUUACCAAGCUCUCCUGGGCCUCUAUCAGAAUCUGGAGAACUUAUGCACAGUGCUCCCUCAGAUUUACAUAACCAUCCAGGAGCAACAGAAAGAACUCCAACACCAGCUAGAUGCAGCUGCCUAUCCUAAAGCUGACCCUUUCUCAUGGAUGGCCCAAAUAUGUCAGGGCCUUCAGCUUCUCAAUUUAUCCAAAGUUAAUAACAUUUCAGAUUGUUUCCUCUGCACAGGUUUGGAUUAUACUCCUUUAACUUUGAUAUCCAUUGACCUUCCUCACAAUACCUCAACCAUACCCCAAGGGCCCCCCUCUCCAGCCUUUGAGAAAGUACCUCUUUUUCGUAACUCAUCAGGGAGUUACACUUCCUCUUCCUGCUACACUUCUUCUGGUAUGGUAACCUGUGACCAGAUCAUUAGAAAUCUCUUCCCCAACCUUUGCUCCUGCGGGGUUCUUUUUCUGGUGCAAUGGUACCCUAACAAAAAAUCUAAGCCUCAGCAUGCCCUUUGCUUUUUGUGUUUCUUCCACAUUGGUACCUCAAUUAAUUCUGUACAGUGAGGCUGAAUUAACAUGGCUUGUUACCACCUCCCUUUCCAGGGCAAUAUGGGUUGUCUUUCUACCAGUAGUAGUUGGACUCUCCCUGGCCUCCUCACUUGCUGCCUCUGGACUGGGGGCAGGAGGACUUGGUUAUGUAGUAACCGCUACUCAGAAGCUUGAACAACAACUUCUGGAAGCGGUAGAGGCAUCGGCUGCCUCUCUCAUUUCCCUGCAAAGGCAAAUAACACCUAUUGCCCAAGUUUCAUUACAGAACUGUGGAGUCCUAGAUCUCUUGAUAUGCUGCUGCUAUAUCAAUGAAACUGGAUUGGUUGAAAAGAAUGUUAACACCCUCUAUCAUUUGGUUAAAAGUCUUAAACAGCAAUAAUCAAAUGACCCUUGGCCAGGCUGGCUAAACUCUACCCUCAUUACAUGACUAACUCUCAUUCUCACUCCUAUAUUAGUAAUAGGACUUCUAUUAAUGAUUGCU